GUUGUAUAGUCAAGUAAUUAAGUGCAUGUGGUGGAUGCCUUGGCAGUCAGAGGCGAUGAAAGACGUGAUAGCCUGCGAAAAGCUCCGGGGAGGCGGCAAAUAUCCUUUGAUCCGGAGAUGUCUGAAUGGGGGAACCCACCUACUUUAAGGUAGGUAUUGCAACAUGAAUACAUAGUGUUGCAAGGCGAACGAGGGGAAGUGAAACAUCUCAGUACCCUUAGGAAAAGAAAUCAAUUGAGAUUCCCUCAGUAGCGGCGAGCGAACGGGGAUCAGCCCAUUAAGUUAUGUGUGUUUUAGUGGAACGCUCUGGGAAGUGCGA
rnacentral:rRNA from 1 species